AAGCUGGCAAGCUGCCUUCCCUUCCAUUGUAAAAGCAUUUUUAUCACCUCGGGGAUUUCGUCUGUUGUGAUGUGUGAUGCUGCGGUGGUGGCUUUUUGCUGAUGAAGACGAAAUACAAAUUUGAAGGGGAGAAUAUUACAUUCAAGAUUACUAACUGUUGAUGCCAAAGUUAGAACUUUGGAACUCUAACUCAAACACUUAUUCUUUUUCUGACAAAAUUGUUAGUUGUAUUAUUUGUCUUGACCCUCCAUACUUGCUGGAAAGCUGCUUGAGUAAUCUAUCUAGUGUCCAUCCCCACUUGAUUCAUUUCGUGCCAGCUGGUUGAAAGGCGUGACGAAUUCAAAUUAAGCCGCUACGUGCUGUCUGCAAGCAAGCAAUUCAAUUGGCUGUCGCUAGGUGGCGCGAGUGUCUUGAGGGGACCAAAUUCGGCCAUUUUGUUCCUUGACGCAGCUGAAGUGGGAUGCAGGUCGCGACGUUUCGCAUGAUGAAAAUAUAAAGAUGAUUUCAAUGCCACUUUGUCAAAUCAUCUAACUCGGACUUGAGUGCCUGUUCAUUUUGCCGAAAUGUCGUGCCUCGUGUGUCUUGCUGCCAGUACCAGUCGUACGUCUCGUCCCAUGCAAAAGCAAAAGUCUGCUGUUGGUUUACUUGUUGCAGCGAGAUGGUGAAAGGUGUGAUGACGUCUAAUUGAACCAUUGUAUGCAGCGUGUUGUUGCAGUGUUAUCCAGAAGUAGCUGCUCAGUGUGGCAGUAUCCUGAAGCAGCCUGAAGCCUGAAGUUGCCAGUGAUAUCCGGGUUGCUGACUUGGAAAUUUUUCUGUUUUCGUGUCUUUUGCUCUGCCAGUGGUAUCCCGAGUUGCAGACUUUAAAUCUUUCUAUCUGUUCUCAUUUGUGUGUGUGUGUGUUUUUUUUUUUUCUCUACCACUGAUUUCCUGUGUUGGUGUUUUGAAAUAGUUUCAUCUGUCGUCUUUGGCGUUUUUACUUGUGCACAUGUGCAGUAUACGAUUGAGGCAACCUGUCCUAUGACAGGUUUGACUCGGUCGACAACUGCUAGAUUAAAUACCGGCUUUCUGCACCAACAAAAUAAUAACGGCACAUGUUAUUAUCGCGGUUGGGAAAGUCACAGGCCCCCCCCUCCCUGGGGGCCAUGCAUAAUAUAUAUGUGAUUGUGUUUAUAAAAAAUAAAAAGAUAAAUAUAUA